rnacentral:misc_RNA from 1 species
GGAGAACUGAAAUCAAGUGAAUGGCAUAAUUAGAAGGCCAAAUGACCAAAAACCCUAACCUUGGUGCACUUUUUCACUUGUACUCAAUCCUUUUAAUUUUAUAAAUUUUAUCCACAAUCUUUGUCAUCAGUAACAAUUAUAGCGAAAUGAAUAGAAUUGGGAAUAAAAUGAUUUUUAACAGACUUGAAAACAAGAUUGGCAUAUAUUAGGAUUUUUUGUUCAUUUGGCCAAUUAGCAACAGUUUAAGCAAAGUAUAAUUCUUCCUUUUAUUAGUCCUCUUAAAU